ACACCCGAGCCGCGCAGAGGCCACCGUUACUCCAGGACUGUGGAGGCCGCCCGGUCCCCAGGGCUGGCUUGGCCUUCUCCGGCUGCCCUCUCGCGGCCCGGCCUCUCCCAGUGGGACUUCGCGAUCCUCCUGUGGCCCCAGCUACAGGCUAAAUUCACUUCCACGCCCUGCGCCCUCCGCGCUUUCCGAGCCCGCCACGCUCCAGGCCCCCACCGCCGAGAGCCCACGCAGGUCCUGCCCUGAAGAUCGCGGCUCCCCAAGGAACGGUGUCCUGGGAAGGGAAUGAGACGCUGCGGCCCCGCGGUCGGAAACACCGGCGGUCUCGGCGCUCGGCCGCCGCUUCGCUCCAUUGCGCAACCUCGAUAAGCCCAGGAUCUCGCCCCUUCCGCCCCGCAUCCUUCCCACUGGCAGGGCGCUUCAAGCCGCCUAAGAUCCCGGGGAGAGAGCGGCCGCGGUCGCGAACAAAGCCGCCUUUGUCUCCACCGCCUCCCGGAGGACGAGGAUGUGCGCCCUGGUCGGACUCCGCGAGCGCAGCCGCAGCCGAGGAGCCAGGCCGGAGUUGCCGAGGCACCUGCUCCGGGGAAACCGCUCACAGUUACACACGCUGGCAACACGACACGCUUCGGUUCUCUUUUGUUUUAAUUAGUUUAGUUUCACCACAACAUUCAGUGUAACAAUAUUUUGUUUCUUUUUCUCUUUUUUUCUUAAAAAGGGACUGAACCCGGGCAGAGUUGGAGAGGUGGGGGAGGAAGGGGGGGCAAACUAUCGCAGAACAACAGGUGCAGCUGACAGGAAGAAAAAAAAACAACAAAAAACAAAAAACAGAAACAAAACAGACUGGGUGGCAGAGCAAGAAACCCUGCGAAGCUGAGGGCGAACUUUACAAGAAACCUGUACAUUUAUCAAAUAAGUUAAAAUUCUCCUAAGUUGAUUGUCCUUCACUUAAAGCGCUCCAGUACCCUACCUCGUUCCUUUGAGCAGGGCUACCUGUCCUCCUUUCCUUCCUCCCCCCUUUCACCUUCUUCGUUUCCUCUCCCUAAGCGAGUGACCGGGACUGCACAGUGGACGGACACGUCUGCCUUUCUCCGAGCGGAAGGCGCGGGGCUGUCGGGGACAAUUGUGUACAAUAUUGCACAGGUCAGAAGUACGACAGUGAAACUGCAGAACGGAAAGACAAUUAAGAGAGUUCUUCCGCCACCGAGCAGGACGGACGAAGAGGUCCAUUGCGACAGACCUCUGCCAGAGAGCAGAGCGGCCCGAGUCCGGGGUGCCUCUGAGAGGCUGCUCAGAUUUUGAAAACUGGGGAGGGUAACUGACUGGGGGUGGAGAGGAAGGACCACGCCCAGAAAUCCGGAAAUAAAUGUACUGCAAUGUAAAUGCAAUCCCUCUCUCUCUCCCCCUCCCCCCUUCUGAAAAUAGUUCUAUAGAAACUGAAUAAACUAGAGGGGUUCUGG